rnacentral:lncRNA from 1 species
UGGCCACACAGCUUCCUUGGGGAGAGAGUGUAGACUUGGCGUAGGCUGUGUUUUCUUUCUUCACAGUCUGAAUUCCCAGUGGUACCCCAUGUUAACCACCAGGGUGCUUAGCUUUCUGCAUCUCAUUAAUCUGUCAUUAUGCAUAGUCAAAGGCACUCAAGGAAAAUGGAUCUGAAUUUAGAAUCCCGAGAACCCUCAAGUUCUCUCGUACUCUUAAAUCUUGCCGUGAUUUUCAAAGUUGUGGGGAAUUUUUGAAUGUCCAGAGCCACGCUCUGUUAUCUUCUACAGCUCACUUCCUGAAGGUGCUGGGGUCUAGCUAUUCUGACCUGUUGAGUAGCUGGGAUCUCCAACCCCAUCUCUCCAUCCCUGGAUCCCUGGGUACUGAGUUAGUUACAUUUCCUGUCGAUCAUAGCCUAACAGCUGCCUUCUCUGGGGCUCCCUGCCUCUAGUCUCAAAUCAUUUUUUCAAAUCAGAACAUUUCACUUGAUCUAUGCAACCAUCCUUUUAAAAAACAAAUACCUUUUCAGUCAUCCAUCCACUGGUACAUUGCCCUGCGGUCACACAAUGCAUGCUGGGUACGGUCCUGUUUAACCAGGUGAGACCUUGGACCAGCGACAUGUGUGUGCUGCUUUGCUGAGGUGUCAUAAUAUUUCUAAACGUCAGCUCACCGUUUCUAUACUCCACCUCUUGUGUACCAGCAGCAAACCACCCUCAGAUGAGCCCGAGACAUUCCUCAGCCACGGUCUCCAGCAGGACCUCUGUAAGCCUUGCCAGAAUGGAAUGACGAGCUCGGAAAUGCAGUUCUGGGCUGGAACGGUGUGGCUCAUCUAACAGUCACAAGGCUUUGGGUCAAGCCCCAGUGCCCCUGCAUUCCCUGGAAAGAAGAAACAGCUUCCCAAUCCUGAAUCUCACGGAUGAGGAAUCCUCUGGCCCUUCAGAGCUUUGGCAGUCAAGUCCAAAGCCCGACUGCUCAUCUCUCACUCCGUGAUGAUACAGGACUCUCCCUCCAUCUUUUGCAUUUCUGGGCUCUGCCAAGUUCUUCUUCCAUCUGCCUGGGGUUGGAGCUUCCUGGUAUCCCUGCCUUUAGACGCUUUCCUGUCUCUAUCAACUUAUGUUAACUAAUUAACUAUC